rnacentral:rRNA from 1 species
GGGCCCGCACAAGCGGUGGAGUAUGUGGUUUAAUUCGAUGCAACGCGAAGAACCUUACCAGGGUUUGACAUCCUGCGAAUCUCUUGGAAACAGGAGAGUGCCUUCGGGAACGCAGUGACAGGUGGUGCAUGGCUGUCGUCAGCUCGUGUCGUGAGAUGUUGGGUUAAGUCCCGCAACGAGCGCAACCCACGUCUUUAGUUGCCAGCAUUUAGUUGGGCACUCUAGAAAGACUGCCGGGUGAAACCCGGAGGAAGGCGGGACGAGGUCAAGUCAUCAUGGCCCUUAUGGGUUGGGCUACACACGUGCUACAAUGGGAAGUACAGAGGGGACGCUAAAGCGCGAGCUGGAGCCAAAACCCCUUAAAACUUUUCUU